AUUGAACGCUGGCGGCAGGCCUAACACAUGCAAGUCGAAUGGUAACAGGAAACAGCUUGCUGUUUCGCUGACGAGUGGCGGACGGGUGAGUAAUGUCUGGGAAACUGCCUGAUGGAGGGGGAUAACUACUGGAAACGGUAGCUAAUACCGCAUAACGUCGCAAGACCAAAGAGGGGGACCUUCGGGCCUCUUGCCAUCAGAUGUGCCCAGAUGGGAUUAGCUAGUAGGUGGGGUAACGGCUCACCUAGGCGACGAUCCCUAGCUGGUCUGAGAGGAUGACCAGCCACAGUGAAACUGGGACACGUCCCAGCCCCUUAGGGAGGCAGCAGUGGGGAAUAUUGCACAAUGGGCGCAAGCCUGAUGCAGCCAUGCCGCGUGUAUGAAGAAGGCCUUCGGGUUGUAAAGUACUUUCAGCGGGGAGGAAGGGAGUAAAGUUAAUACCUUUGCUCAUUGACGUUACCCGCAGAAGAAGCACCGGCUAACUCCGUG
rnacentral:rRNA from 1 species